rnacentral:rRNA from 1 species
UACGAAGGGGGCUAGCGUUGUCCGGAUUUAUUGGGCGUAAAGAGCGUGUAGGCGGCCAGGUAGGUCUGCUGUGAAAACUCGAGGCUCAACCUCGAGACGUCGGCGGAAACCAUCUGGCUAGAGUCCGGAAGAGGAGAGUGGAAUUCCUGGUGUAGCGGUGAAAUGCGUAGAUAUCAGGAGGAAUACCGGUGGUGUAGACGGCUCUCUGGACCGCAACUGACGCUGAGACACGAAAGCGUGGGUAGCAAACAGG